rnacentral:lncRNA from 1 species
AGGAUUCUUACCUGGGAAAUCCCAUGGACAGUGGAGCCUGGCGGGCAAAGAGUCGGACACGACUUAGUGACUGGACAACAACAGCAACAACCACGAGUGUUGUUCUUCACGGGUCUGUGACAUAACCUCCAGGCAGCUCCCUACGGAGAAAGGCACCACGAAUGAGAUGCAGACGGGGAGUUUUUGGGUGGCCCCACGGGCAAGGCAGGAUGGAACGGGAGGGCCUCGGGCUCUCUGGUCUGAUCGUAUCCAGCAGUUUCUUUCUCAGCGGUCAACAAGUGCUGAGUGUCACAGAGGGGACCCCCUGGGAGAGAUGAAAGGCAGCCCUAGGGGAUCCCGACCUCUGAAACGUAACCUUUGUGUCGUCUUUCAAAGGAGGACUCUUUGAGGGUGAGUGUCAUCGGUCACCUUCAAACGGAACCUUUAAUCUGUCUGGCUUAGCCCGUGGAAUCCACCCUGUUACUGAUGGUUCAGCGAUAAGGGCCAUCAAGAAAGGACCCCAGUUCAUGGGGGGCCCUGCUGAGGAAGCUGGGGUCUCGGCCACGCACCCAUCAGCAGGGGUCCCUGCCCAGGAAGCACGACCCGCUCAGUGGGCGCAGCGGCCCGUGUCAGCCUCAGUCUGCGGCUGCCAGCCGUGCAGGGAACUUCUGAGACUCGGGGGGAGCAAGCUGGCAUGCCGCAGAACCAGAGCAGGCACCGAGGAGCCAGCAAGAGAAACUCAGAUGCACACAUCCUCCCCGCAGUGGGGAGCACCUGCUCUCUGCACCCUCCCCAGACACCGUCAGCCUGCUCUGAAAAUGACAGAAUGA